GCGCACGGAGCUCAGCUGGGUAGAGCACCAGACUACGAAUCUGGGGGUCAGGAGUUCGAAUCUCUUCGGGCGCGCCA
rnacentral:tRNA from 1 species